rnacentral:lncRNA from 1 species
UGGCCGGCCUGCUCCUCAUCCAGAUCCUUCAUACUCUCCUUUAGCCCCACAUAGAGGCUACUGAGCUCUCCCAUCAGAUGAAAUGUCUCCACUGCCGUGGGGAAACUAGAACUCAUUCUACGCAGUGAAUUGCGUCGCUCACUCAGGACUUCACUCGAGACUUCGCUCCCUUCUGAUAAGACUCGGUCGACGGAGUCUGGACUCCUGAAAAGAGUGACAUCUUGGCCUGGGGCCUUCUGGGCAGGAAUUCCAUGUCGGUCCGAGGCUCGUGUUCUAUUUGGAUCCAAACCUUCCUGGCCAUGCUGAUCAGCACUUAGAUACCCUGGGCCACGAUAACCAGGAUACAUUGAAUCAUGACUGUCAAAGAGAGAGAAAGCAUGGCCAUGCUGAGCUGCAUCUGGGUAUACCUGGUCAUGCUCACCUGGGCCAGGUGAUGCCACAUGCUGUUGAUCUGGGUGUGUAGAUCCCAAACCUGUACUCAGUGGUAUUGGGCUGUGCUGGUCUGUGCCAGGAUGCAUCAAACCUUGCUGAUAAGUUUCUGGUGGUACCAAACUCCUUCGAUCUAUACCAGGUGAUGCCAAACCUUGACUGGCUAGGAGUGGUGACACCUGGCCGUAUUGUUCUCUGCCAGGAGGUACCAUACCAUGUUGAUAUGGACGUACUGAUAUAAAACCUGUAGAAUCUGCCUGGAAUGUUGAAGAGCCACGAAGCUUUGUGCCUGGUGCUAUCAAGCCUGGCUGAUAUGCACCAGGUUGUCUCAAACCAUACUGAUCCAUUCCUGGCUGCACCAGACCACGUGGAUAUGUCCCAGAUUGAGAUAAAUCAUGCAAAUAUGCACCAGGUUGUACCAAACCAAGAGGAUAGGCACCAGGUUGUACCAGGCCAUGUGGAUCUGCCUGAGGUUGCACCAUACCUUGCUGACCUAUUCCAGGCUGCACCAUACCCAGCUGACCUGCACCAGGCUGGACCAAACCAGGCUGAUCUGCACCAGGUUGGAUCAAACCACGCUGGUCCAUUCCAGGUUGGACCAAACCACGCUGAUCCACUCCAGGUUGCACCAAACCACGCUGAUCCACUCCAGGUUGGACCAAACCACGCUGAUCUGCACCAGGUUGGACCAAACCAUGCUGAACUGCACCAGGUUGGACCAAACCACGCUGAACUGCACCAGGUUGAACCAAACCACGCUGAUCCACUCCAGGUUGGACCAAACCACGCUGAACUGCACCAGGUUGCACCAAACCACGCUGAACUGCACCAGGUUGCACCAAACCACGCUGAACUAUACCAGGUUGCACCAAACUACGCUGAACUUCACCAGGUUGUGCCAAACCAUGCUGAUCCACUCCAGGUUGGACCAAACCAUGCUGAUCUGCACCAGGUUGGACCAAACCAUGCUGAACUGCACCAGGUUGAGCCAAAUCACUCUGAUCUGCACCAGAUUGUACCAAACCAUGCUGAUCUGCACCAGGUUGCACCACAUCAAUCUGAUCUGCACCAGGUUGGACCAAGCCAGGCUGAUAUGCACCAGGCUGCACCAAAGCACGCUGAAAUCUGCCAGGUUGGACCAUGCCAGGCUGAUCUACACCAGGCUGUACCAAGACACCCUGACCUGUGCCAGAUUGGACCAAAUCAUGCUGACCUGUGCCAGGCUGGAUCAAACCAUGCUGAUCUCUACCAGGUUGGGCCAAACCAGACUGAUCCAUUCCAGGCCAGACCAAACCACGCUGAUCUGCACCAGGUUGGGCCAAACCAGACUGAUCCAUUCCAGGCCGGACCAAACCACGCUGAUCUGCACCAGGUUGGACCAAGCCAGGCUGAUAUGCACCACGCUGCACCAAAGCACGCUGAAAUCUGCCAGACUGGAUCAAAUCAUGCUGCUCUGUGCCAGGUUGUAUGAAGCCAGUUGCUUCCAAACUGGGCUGCACAAAACCUUGCUGAUCUGCACUAAUUGGCAUCAAACCAGGUGAUACCAAACCAUGCUGGUCUGUAAAAGGUAGAACCAGGCCAUGUUGAUCGACGACAGGCAAUGUCAAUCCUUGCUGGUCUAUACCAGGGGGUACUAGUCCUUGCUGACCCAUGCCUGAUAUUACACAUCCACGCUGAUCCAUGCCAAGUGGUUCCAUACUGCGUUGGUCUGUGCCAGGAAAUGUCAUACCAUGCUGAUAUGCACUGACUGAAACCAGACCAUGUUGGUCUGUGCUAGGUAGUUCCAAUCCUUGCUGGUCUCUGCCAGGUACUGAUGGUGGCAACAUACGUUGCUCAUCCACGACAAAUGGUAUCAAUUCCCGAUCAUCCAUUUCAGGUGGUGGCACACCAAGCUGACCCAUGCUGAGGGGUACCACACCAUGUGGGUAAGUGCUAGCAGGCACUAAUCCAGGCUGAUUCAUGCCAGUUGGUUCUAACCCACGACGAUCUGGCCUUAGAUGGACCUGACUCUGGCUAGCGGGCACACUACUGGGCUGGUCUCUGGCCAAGGGUAAGUCCUGUUGAACUGGACCAGGACGUGCAUUUCUUCUUGGUUGUGUCGAGGUAAGCUUCUCUCUACUCCUGUGACGAUCUGAGUCUGAUUUGAAUUGGAAUGUAGAAGACUGAUGGAGUCGUGGCACGCCAGCUUCAUCACGGGCCCUCGGCUGCUGCUGUCUCCCAGUACCAGAGGGGACCUUGCUUUGUUCCCUACUGGAAACCCCAUCAGAGGGGUGUGCUGUGCCACCAGAUCCUGAUGCAGUCCGAUCCGGGCCAAGACCACUGGCAGAAUCCAGAGCCUGCUCAAUACUUGGUUGCUUGGUAGAGUCUCCGCUUAGAGUCCCU